GUCAUGAUGAACUUUCUCGGCCAAUGCAGGGAUCGAACACCCGACCUCCAGGCUAGCGAGCCAGUGUCUUAACCACCUAGCCACCGUGGCUCCCACAAUGAUGUGGGAUGACUAGAAUCUGAUACUACCAAUAUUAUAGAUCCCUUCAUUUAUGUCUAACGCAUUAUAACCACAAUAUGUGUGACUAACAACACCUACUUCUAUUUAACGCUCGUUAAGAGUUUAUCCCAGUGAUCCUUGGAUAUUGGUUAUGACGAAAAAAAACUGUCAAGGUAUUCACCUAAUAAACACCUACACCAAGUUUGAAGUUUCUAACUUAAUUUGGAGAGUCAUUGUGUUCCAAAGUCUCGACUUAGCCUAAGCAGAAAAUGCUGUCAUCGAAGUCAAGAAUCUGAGGUAGAAUCUAGUUUUGACAUUAUUAAGACCUACCAGAAUGAGAUUUUUAGGUCGUGUCUUUUGCAAAAUAUGGUUCCGGUCACUAAAACCAGACUUGUCAGUUCAACAGAUGACACAAAUUCCACUUAUACAGAAAUGUAGUAGAAGUAUCUUUAGAUCUAUUUCAACCAAAAGUCUUGGUAUACAGAAUGCUGAUCUUCAGACUUCAGACAAAGAAAUAUUGCAACAAGUUGUUCGAUUUCCACUCAGAGUUCCUGAGCUGGCAAGAUCCAGGAAGCUGGCAAGAACGGAAUGGGAUUCGUAGAAAAUGAAUUUUCCAGUGAGAUUAUAUUCAGACAGGAAUUCCAAAGAGCAUUCCCAUUUGCCGUCACGAAAAGGGCUUCAGAUAAGUUGAUAGCUGGAAUUAUAAUUUUUCGUAGCAGUUUUUGUCGUGGAACAAAGGUAGCCGACGCGUUAUGCAUCGUGGAUAAAUCGGAACGGGAAAAGGGGGUCGGAAAUUUUUGUUUGCAGAUUAUGGAGACAUUAACAGCAGACCUAGGAUUCGUGGCAAUAUUUGCAGACUGUUAUAGCAAUAAUAAAGUAAUGCUCCGAUCACUAGGCAGAAUUGGCGGGUAUAUAAGAUGUGGUUAUCUACCCAUAGGAGGGCAAAUGACCGACGGGAUCUACAUAAGCUCAAUUAUAUUUUAUAAAGAUUUACGACAUUCAAUCAAUACUGAACCACGAGUCAGUUGUCAUUGUAUGCUAGAAGACUGCCUACAAAAUUAAAAAUACCAAUGUUCCGUUAAUGAUCGUUUGUUCCUACUUUGGAUUUUAUGCAAUUGAAACUCCUGUUUUGAUCACUGGGGUGCUUUUUUAUAUUUUUUUAAACCCUGACACUGAACGAUUCGUGAUCUUUUUUAAAACUCUUUAUCAGGGACGAUUGGGUCAUAUUUUUUUUAGCUCCUGAUUAUGGUAUCUGAACAGUUUAGACUAUUAUGGCUAUCGGACAAAUCGCCAUGAAUGUUUUCAGUUUGGGAGCAUGCUUAAAACAAGAAAAUAUAUUAGCUAGACGAACUUCUUAAAGGGCGAAAGUGUAUAUAUUUUAGUAUAUAAAAAGAAAUAUAAAGUUGGCGAGCGAACUAUUGUUCAACUGAUGACAAAUUUUAUUAUACACAGGUCACAAUUCUAUGGAAUACAGUUACUGGUUAUUACUGACCGACGUUUCCAGUAGGCUUCUCAAGCUAUUAUAAAAUAUAAACUUUAUAAUACAUGUAAAGCAAUACUUGGUUUACUGCUGACCGACCAGAGAAUCCUAGUUAAAAUAUCCCACAGUAAUAAACAGUAAAUUUCAGACUCGGAGCAGACCUAGUGUAGCCUCCAACCCCGAACAGACAAACAGACAGACAAACGACAGUCACAAAUAUUAGUAUAGAUUAAAGUAUUGUGUAGCUGUAUUCACUCUUUUUAUUAAAGUAUUGUGUAGCUGUAUUAACUCUUUUUAUUAGAGUAUUUUGUAGCUGCGAUGACUCUUUUUAUGUAUUUGUCUUCCGUAAACAUGAACGUACGUGAUUCAAACUGAUUUACAAGGACAGUUCGAGAUAUAUAAUAUUAGUAAAAAAAAAUACUGGUCAAUUCUGUCAGAGAAUAAAGCGGAAUUACGAUGUAACUCUAAUGAUAACCGUGUAACGCUUUCGUUAAUAUGCGUAGUUCUGUACCAAUCUGUUUCACAGAUGAUUACGAAAGUCUUCUAAUAUCUCUGCCUUCAACACGUGACGUCACAUCAAGCGACGUCAAUAAUUGGCUCAAUGGCGCGUGGAUUGUUUACAUAAGACGUUGCUAAAUUGGGCAGAAUGCUGCCUUUUACUCAUUUUAAUACCCAUUAAAUAGGAAAUAGAUUUUACCUACGAAUACUUCAAACUUCUUUUUUUAUUUUUCUAAUACAUAAAAACAAUGUUUUAGAAUUUAAUUUGUUGGAGGAAAAAGGUUAAUAUUUUGGGCUCAUUAAGUCGCAUCGAUGUCAUCCUCAUCAGUGACUGUAGCGGCCUAGCGAAUAUUCACUGCUGAUCAGUGCGGUUCUGUAUAAGUAACGUCUGAUUUACAAAAUUAUACAUUACAUAUGUGAAGAUAGCGAAACAAAGUGUAGAAUUUACGACCAUACAGCAAAUUUCAUCAAAAUCGGAUCAAAAGUGUGACCUCUUGGGGGGCCACAACCUUGAUAUAACAUAUAUUUACACUAUUUGCGUACGAAUGGCGGCCAUUUUGUCUGGCAGUUUUGGUCCGAUUUUCACUAAAUUCGGACUCGGCCAUCAUUACAGUUUAACGGUGAUAUAUUCAAACGUUUUUCUUUUAAACCGGAUAAAAAUUGUUAGCUCUAGAGGGACCACACGCUAAAAACGCGAUUUUUCGUGCAAUCAAGGGCCAUAAUUCAGGAAGUUACUAUCCAAUAUGCGCGAAUAUUGAAAGGAACCAAGAUCUUGGGGUUAUAAACAUGCAUUUCAAGUUUCAUCAAAAUCAGAUUAAACUUGUGACCUCCAGAGUGUUCACAAGCUAAACACGCGGUUUUACGUACAAUCAAGGGACAUACUCCCUGACGUUUCGGUCCGAUACAUGCCAAUAUCGAAAGGAACCGAGAUCUUUUGGAGAUAAACCUAUAUUUCAAGUUUCGUCAAAAUCGAAUAAGAAUUGUGACCCGUAGAGUGUCCACAAACAAAUUGUGGACGGACGGACGUCCGGACGGAAAGGGUUGACGACAAUAUACGUCCACAUGAAAAUGACACAAAUAAUGGCCCAACACGGUCAAACACAAUCAACUAUCGGACCAUUGUGAGUUGAAAGCAAAUGUUUCUAAUAGCUAACUGGGGCUCACAUAUUUGUCUUGUGCAACCUCAGGUAUUUUUCUCACUCAACCUGUACUGAAUCACUUGAAUACUCGCAAUCGGUAGAACAGUCUGAUUCUUCCUAUUCCAUCUCAUGCAACGGGGAUGACACUGUUCUUGCCAGUUAUUUGGUCAUUCAUACGCGCCGGUAAAACUGGGGUUUUGUAUCACCCUAACAAACAUUUUCCAUCCCUUAUUCCUCUCUGUUUUCUAGUAGAGAAGGUGACACGGCCGGGGGUCAUAGUGGAUCAAAAUUUAUGCUUUACAAUUCGCUCUCCGUUGCUUCUGUUCGUAUGACCCUUUAAUUUGUGCUCUUAGUCCUGUGGUGCACAAGUUUUUACAUCACCGAUUCUAUUUUUUUCCAUGGUCUAAUAAACUUAGUUAUUUUGUUGAAUUAGGGAACCAUAUUGGCGUUUCGCUCGGUCAUGGCACAUUUCGCCAUUCAGAUAUGAAUUCGGCGAACCCGAAAAUCUAUAGUUUAAAACAUUACUAAUAUCGUUAUGUCUUGCCAAAUAUGGCCACCAUUUUGAAUAUGAACUUAACCUGGAAUACUUUGUGGUCGGAACAUUUUUUUAUGUUUAUAUCGGAAAUAAAUGACACCGAAAACCUAUAGUUUAAUAUAUUGCACAGCUUUUUGGGGGAUUUUAUGAGUUUCCCCCCAAAAUGAGCCUCCAUUUUGAAUUUGGCCCGCUAGUGGAAUUAGCCAUCUUUUUUAGGAGGAAUACCCAAGUUCGUUGGAUUCAGCUGGUCAAAUUCUGAUGGAAACCACCUCCAUAUCGAGGUCCGAAUUUUACCCCACUAAAUUAAAGUAAAUAACCAGAAAAUGCCUCAUGACGACCAUCUUUAAUAUUUUCAUUGCAGUGUCAACGCAGCAACUUUCGUAAGUUUGCGGUGGCAUUCGUCGUUACUGAAAAGGGAAUUAUAAGGCAAUCCAUAUGAUAUCGAGUAUGGAAUCUGUAUACCCGUUUUAAUGAGUCCGGGGUGGAUGGCCAUAUGGUUAGAGUGUGCGCGCUAUAUCAUAAGGUCUGUUAUAGAGUCAACUGGCGAUGGGUUCGAUUCCCCGGUUGUACGUGACAAGGAGUAGGAUCGCCUCUAACCUCUAGGGUUUUCUCCGGGUCCUCGGGUUUCCUCCCACUGAUAAAGACCCCUACGCGCAAGCGAAUUAUAGAAAUAAAAUUUAACCAUAUUAUGUUAGUCCAGACAUGACCUAGUUUGUGCCGGGAGGACGUUAAACCCCAUUUCCUUCUCUAUCUAUCUCUCUCUCUCUCUCUCUCUCUCUCUCUCUCUCUCUCUGGUUGACAGAGUGUAUAAAAAUCAACAUACACCAUGUAGUCAGUAUUUGCCCAAUAACAGUACGCCUGAAGGACUUUCGUUGUCCAUCGAUGAACUUCAAUGCUUAUUAAUAUAUGCUCGAACCGGCAAUGUCAGAUCAGUCCAGCGGAACGGUACAAACACUUCUUAGAAGAAUGUUAAUGUUAUAGAUAAUUUAAAAGCAUGGUGGUGGUGAGUUGGGUGUUGUUGUCCGAACCAUCAAAAUCCCUUUUAAAUCCACUGCUUGGAUGUAAAAUUACGAAUGUAAGCGCUUAGAUCUACUUUAUUACCUACGAAGGUAGAUUUUAUAUUAAAACAGUGCAAUGUCUUCCGUGAAUUAUGCUGAUACAUCCUAUCACCCCUUUCAUUGAAUGGAAGCCUCCAUUUGAGACCAUUUUUGUUCAUUGGCGAUAAAAAAAUUCUUCACUUCUUAACGUUAUAGGCCUAUGUAUGUGGUAGAGAACUGAGAAUACAAGAUAUUCGGUUUAAAUCUGUGAACUGAGAAAAGUUUGUAGAAGAAAUUUGACAUGGGAUGAACAAAAUUUAAAAUAUAAUCUAGCUUUGGCAUUAUUAAGACGUAUCAGGAUGAAAUUUUUAGGUCAAGUUCUUUGCAAAAUGUGGCCCAAGACACUAAAACCAGGCGUAUUAUCGUUUCCAAGGAUACCGCAAAUGCCAAUUCUACAGAAGUUUAGUAAAAAUAUUCCUAGAUCAAUUUCAACCAAACGUCUUGGUAUACAAAAUGUUGAUUACCAAUCAUCGAACAACGGGAUAUUAAAACAAGCUGUUCGAUUUCCACUCGUUACGACACUUCCCGAUGGCGAGGAAGUAGUCAUUGACGUCAUGACGGAUGGUCAGAUAUCAGAAACAUAUGCGAUGAUCCACGAAGCUGCCGAGAACGGAAUGGGAUUCGGGAUUAAUGAAUAUUCCAGUGAGAAUGUAUUCAGGCGGGAAAUCAAAGCAGGAUUCCCAUUUGCUGUAACUCAAAAAGCUUCAGAUAAAUUGAUGGCUGGAUUCAUAAUUAUUCGUAGCAGUUUUUUCCGUGGAACAAAAGUAGCCGACUCGUUAUGCAUCGUGGAUAAAUCGGAACGGAGAAAGGGGAUCGGGCGUUUUUGUCUGCAGACUGUAGAGACGUUCGCAACAGACCUAGGAUUCGUUGCAAUCUACCUGGACUGUUUUAGCAAUAACAAAGAAGGGAUCCUAUCAAUAGAAAAACAUGGUGGAUAUGUAAGAUGUGGUCAUCUACCCAUGGGAGGACAAUUGAACGACGGGACCUACAUAAGCUCGGUUAUAUUUUAUAAAGACUUACGACAAUCAACCGAUACUGAACCGCGAGUCAGUAGUCAUUGUUUUUUAUAAGACUGUCGUUAUGUUCUGACUUUGGAUUAUUGGCAAUUUAACCUCUCGUCUUGAUCACUGGAGAUUAGGUUGUUAUCAUGUCUUUCGGACCGAUUCCCAUGACUGUUUUCAGCCUUAGCGGAUGCUAAAAGUACAAGGAAAUAUAUUAGCCAAGCGAUCUUCUUAAAUGUUGAAAGUGUGUAUAUUUUAGUAUGUAAAAAGAUAUAUAAUGGUGGUUCGCGAAACUAUUCAACUAUUGUUCAAAUGAUGACACCAUUUUAUUAUGCAUAGGUCACAAUUCUAUUGGAUACAAUUACUCCUUUUCACUGAUCGACGUUUUGACCAGACUUCUCUAGUCUUUGGUGAAAUAUAAAAUUAUUUUACGAUCCAAUGUAUUCAUGUAAAGCAAUACUUGGUUAAUACUGACCAACAAGACACGGCCCUCUAAUAUAAGAAUUCUAGUCAAAACGUCCCUCAGUAAUAACCAAGAACUCUAUUCCAUAGAAUUUUGACCUGUGUAUCCCCACUUUAAUUACUAAAUGCCAUGACACAAUUUAACGUUUUAUUAAAGUAUUAUGUAGCUGUA